GUCGAGUGGUGGUUCUUUAUUCUAUGGAGUGGUUCUGAAAGCGCUGCGUUAGGGGCGACUGCAACCAGGCGUUGCGGCAAGUUACGGUGGGAACUUCUGUCCGUGCUGUGUGAUUGCGACGAGGACGACUGCCGCCAGCAGCGGCGUGUCGCCGAUUUCGUCUUUGCCGACAUCGAGCAAGUGCAGCGCCGGAAGUGUUGCGUUUUGCACUGCAUUUUCCUUGUGAUAUGGGAGAUCGCAACGCAGAGACGACCAGAUGCACACGAAAGACUACCAGCGGAGAGUGACCUGUGCCAUAUUUCUCUUAACCUCUCAGGUAUUCAAGAAAUGGCAACAUCCAGAAGAAGAUGCCAUCUUAUCCAGCACGUUAUGGGUACACUCUGGUGGCUCCCGCCCCUGCAUCCUACGACCACCGUGUCCUCACUAUGUUCACUAGGGAGUUCGAAGCCUUCGUGAUGAUGCGAAGCAGGCUGGAAGCUGACAGAACGAUCGAGGUUGCCUCGAAAUUUUACCCAAGCCGUGCCACACACUUGGGCCAGGCCUCUUGCAAACGACGUAUAACCAGGCUCAACGCAGGAUGUCGAGUGAAUCCGGAGAUCGAGGCAACCUGCUGUGCAACCAGCGUGCAACCUUUGGUGACCCUCAAUAUGUUCCACCUAUUUCACAGCCGCACUCAGCUUCCACCUAUCCAAACCGCAUCGCCAGCUGUGGUCACUCAUCGAACCAUGGAUGAAUGUUGGGGUGGAGUGAUUUGAAGAGACAUUUUUUUUGUCUCUUCAAAUCCUUAGCAAAUACUUGUGGCAUAAUUAAUAUGUGUCUUUAGUGCCUAGUUUUUAAUGGUUCCUUUCUAUUAGAAAUCUCGCCAUCGAUUCCUGCUAUGGUAAUGUAUGUGUGUCUUUAUGCACAGUUUUUCAUAGUUCUUUUGUACUUGUCUAUGUAAUUGAUAGGUUCAUACUUCUUGUUACACAGAAGGCUAAAAUGCAAA